UCUCAGAGGACCAAUCAGAGCCCAUCUGCAGACCACGUGAUCAACCAGGGUGAAACUCAAGACGGACUUUACGCUUCUGCUCCUCCUGAUGAAUCCAGCAUCACAUUUUCUGAGGUUGCGCUCAAAAGCCUUAAAAAGGAGGAGAAGCACGAUGGAGCAGACGAGAUCCCCGUUUACUCAGCUGUGAGGAUUCCAUCAGCUGCAGAGGAGGUGACGUACGCCCAGGUUCACCCCCCCACUGAGAGGAAGAGCAAUGAAUUGGCAGAUCAAUGAAGACAUCCGUGUGGACAGAAGGGGCCAACAUGAAACCUCUCUUUAAGACACUGAUCUUUCUACGUUGGCGUAACAGAGCCAUGAUGCUUCCUCCAUCUUAUGGAGCCUGUUCGUUAUCUUUAUUUUAAAUUUAACUUUUGUUUUGCUUUCUGUAUCCCCCUAGCUCAUAGCCUUCUAUUUUAUACUGUAGAGUUAAAUAGUAAAUUAAACAUGCCACCUUUCGUCUUGGGAUGUUGUAAAAAGU